rnacentral:rRNA from 1 species
UACGGGGGGAGCAAGCGUUGUUCGGAUUUACUGGGCGUAAAGGGCGCGUAGGCGGCCACUGCAAGUCAGUUGUGAAAUCUCCGGGCUUAACCCGGAAAGGUCAACUGAUACUGCAGGGCUAGAGUGCAGAAGGGGCAACUGGAAUUCUCGGUGUAGCGGUGAAAUGCGUAGAUAUCGAGAGGAACACCAGUGGCGAAGGCGAGUCCCUGGACAACACCUGACACUGAGGCACGAAAGCUAGGGGAGCAAACAGG